rnacentral:rRNA from 1 species
GAUGAACGCUGGCGGCGUGCCUAAUACAUGCAAGUCGAGCGAACGGACGAGAAGCUUGCUUCUCUGAUGUUAGCGGCGGACGGGUGAGUAACACGUGGAUAACCUACCUAUAAGACUGGGAUAACUUCGGGAAACCGGAGCUAAUACCGGAUAAUAUUUUGAACCGCAUGGUUCAAAAGUGAAAGACGGUCUUGCUGUCACUUAUAGAUGGAUCCGCGCUGCAUUAGCUAGUUGGUAAGGUAACGGCUUACCAAGGCAACGAUGCAUAUCCGACCUGAGAGGGUGAUCGGCCACACUGGAACUGAGAGACGGUCCAGAUUCCUACGGGAGGCAGCAGUAGGGAAUCUUCAGCAUUGGGCGAAAGCCUGACGGAGCAACGCCGCGUGAGUGAUGAAGGUCUUCGGAUCGUAAAACUCUGUUAUUAGGGAAGAACAGAUGUGUAAGUAACUGUGCACAUCUUGACGGUAACUAAUCAGAAAGCCACGGCUAACUACGUG